UUGGAAACUGUUAGACUUGAGUGCAGUAGAGGAGAGUGGAAUUCCAUGUGUAGCGGUGAAAUGCGUAGAUAUAUGGAGGAACACCGGUGGCGAAAGCGGCUCUCUGGACUGUCACUGACACUGAGGCUCGAAAGCGUGGGUAGCAAACAGGAUUAGAUACCCUGGUAGUCCACGCCGUAAACGAUGAGUGCUAGUUGUUUGGGGCUAUCCAGCCCUAAGUGACGCAGCAAACGCAUUAAGCACUCCGCCUGGGGAGUACGACCGCAAGGUUGAAACUCAAAGGAAUUGACGGGGGCCCGCACAAGCGGUGGAGCAUGUGGUUUAAUUCGAAGCAACGCGAAGAACCUUACCAGGUCUUGACAUACUCGUGCUAUUCCUAGAGAUAGGAAGUUCCUUCGGGACACGGGAUACAGGUGGUGCAUGGUUGUCGUCAGCUCGUGUCGUGAGAUGUUGGGUUAAGUCCCGCAACGAGCGCAACCCUUAUUGUUAGUUGCCAUCAUUAAGUUGGGCACUCUAGCGAGACUGCCGGUAAUAAACCGGAGGAAGGUGGGGAUGACGUCAAAUCAUCAUGCCCCUUAUGACCUGGGCUACACACGUGCUACAAUGGUUGGUACAACGAGUCGCAAGACAGUGAUGUCAAGCUAAUCUCUUAAAGCCAAUCUCAGUUCGGAUUGUAGGCUGCAACUCGCCUACAUGAAGU
rnacentral:rRNA from 1 species